UCGGGAAUUUUGGGCAAUGGGCGAAAGCCUGACCCAGCAACGCCGCGUGAAGGAUGAAGUAUUUCGGUAUGUAAACUUCGAAAGAAUAGGAAGAAUAAAUGACGGUACUAUUUAUAAGGUCCGGCUAACUACGUGCCAGCAGCCGCGGUAAUACGUAGGGACCAAGCGUUGUUCGGAUUUACUGGGCGUAAAGGGCGCGUAGGCGGCAAUUCAAGUCAUCUGUGAAAUCUCCGGGCUUAACCCAGAACGGCCAAGUGAUACUGUCGCGCUAGAGUGCAGAAGGGGCAAUCGGAAUUCUUGGUGUAGCGGUGAAAUGCGUAGAUAUCAAGAGGAACACCUGAGGUGAAGACGGGUUGCUGGGCUGACACUGACGCUGAGGCGCGAAAGCCAGGGGAGCAAACGGGAUUAGAUACCCAGGUAGUCCCUGAGCGGGCUGGCAAGGCGCAU
rnacentral:rRNA from 1 species